UGCCAGCCGCCGCGGUAAUACGGAGGGUGCAAGCGUUAAUCGGAAUUACUGGGCGUAAAGGGCGCGUAGGCGGUUCGGUAAGUCGGAUGUGAAAGCCCCGGGCUUAACCUGGGAAUUGCACUCGAUACUGCCGAGCUAGAGUGUGGUAGAGGGAAGCGGAAUUCCGGGUGUAGCGGUGAAAUGCGUAGAUAUCCGGAGGAACAUCAGUGGCGAAGGCGGCUUCCUGGACCAACACUGACGCUGAGGCGCGAAAGCGUGGGGAGCAAACAGGAUUAGAUA
rnacentral:rRNA from 1 species